GGGUGGCGAGUGGCGAACGGGUGAGUAAUGCGUCGGAACGUACCGAGUAAUGGGGGAUAACGCAGCGAAAGUUGUGCUAAUACCGCAUACGCCCUGAGGGGGAAAGUGGGGGAUCGCAAGACCUCACGUUAUUCGAGCGGCCGACGUCUGAUUAGCUGGUUGGUGGGGUAAUGGCUCACCAAGGCGACGAUCAGUAGCGGGUCUGAGAGGAUGAUCCGCCACACUGGGACUGAGACACGGCCCAGACUCCUACGGGAGGCAGCAGUGGGGAAUUUUGGACAAUGGGGGCAACCCUGAUCCAGCCAUUCCGCGUGAGUGAAGAAGGCCUUCGGGUUGUAAAGCUCUUUCAGCAGGAACGAAACGGUAGAGGCUAAUACCCUCUGCUAAUGACGGUACCUGCAGAAGAAGCACCGGCUAACUACGUGCCAGCAGCCGCGGUAAUACGUAGGGUGCGAGCGUUAAUCGGAAUUACUGGGCGUAAAGCGUGCGCAGGCGGAUUGUUAAGCAAGACGUGAAAUCCCCGGGCUUAACCUGGGAAUGGCGUUUUGAACUGGCAGUCUAGAGUGUGUCAGAGGGGGUGGAAUUCCACGUGUAGCAGUGAAAUGCGUAGAGAUGUGGAGGAACACCAAUGGCGAAGGCAGCCCCCUGGGAUAACACUGACGCUCAUGUACGAAAGCGUGGGUAGCAAACAGGAUUAGAUACCCUGGUAGUCCACGCCCUAAACGAUGUCAACUGGUUGUUGGGGGAGUGGAAUCCCUUAGUAACGAAGCUAACGCGUGAAGUUGACCGCCUGGGGAGUACGGUCGCAAGAUUAAAACUCAAAGGAAUUGACGGGGACCCGCACAAGCGGUGGAUGAUGUGGAUUAAUUCGAUGCAACGCGAAAAACCUUACCUACCCUUGACAUGUCCAGAAUCCUGCAGAGAUGCGGGAGUGCCCGAAAGGGAAUUGGAACACAGGUGCUGCAUGGCUGUCGUCAGCUCGUGUCGUGAGAUGUUGGGUUAAGUCCCGCAACGAGCGCAACCCUUAUCAUUAGUUGCUACGCAAGGGCACUCUAAUGAGACUGCCGGUGACAAACCGGAGGAAGGUGGGGAUGACGUCAAGUCCUCAUGGCCCUUAUGGGUAGGGCUUCACACGUCAUACAAUGGUCGGUACAGAGGGUUGCCAAGCCGCGAGGUGGAGCCAAUCCCAGAAAGCCGAUCGUAGUCCGGAUUGUUCUCUGCAACUCGAGAGCAUGAAGUCGGAAUCGCUAGUAAUCGCGGAUCAGCAUGUCGCGGUGAAUACGUUCCCGGG
rnacentral:rRNA from 1 species